rnacentral:misc_RNA from 1 species
GAUGAAGAACGCAGCGAAAUGCGAUACUUGGUGUGAACUGCAGAAUCCCGUGAACCAUCGAGUCUUUGAACGCAAGUUGCGCCCGAAGCCAUUAGGCCGAGGGCACGCCUGCCUGGGCGUCACACGUCGUUGCCCCCCCAUCUACUCCUUCGGGAUUGCGGGGGGCGGAUGAUGGCCUCCCGUGCGCCUCGUCGCGCGGUUGGCAUAAAUGCCAAGUCCUCGGCGACGCACGCCACGACAAUCGGUGGUUGCGAAACCUCGGUUGCCCGUCGUGUGCGGUCGUCGCGCAUCGAGGGCUCGAAAAAAUUGUCGGGCUCCGGCUCGGCUUUCAACGCGACCCCAGGUCAGGCGGGGUUACCCGCUGAAUUUAAGCAUAUCAAUAAGCGGAGGA